ensembl:lncRNA
UAAUUUAGAAACAGAGAGCUCAAAGGGGCAGAAUAAUUUGACUCAGAAGGGAUGGCUCAGACUACCUAAGAAAUACUAAAAUUCAAGAGAAUUUCAUACAGGAGACUGUCCCAGAAAGUUUAUUCAAUAAUUCAAAAAACAUUAUGAUUAAGGAAGUGAGGAAGAGAGCUGAAAUUCCAUGUAAUUACAAGCGAAGAGGAAGAACAUGCUAAGGAGGAAAUAGCAGGCAGUUUUGGAGAAAGUGACCAUGCCAACUCCAGAUUUACCCUAGCUAAGGACACAGUCCUAGGGCAGCAGCUUUAUGUAUAGAAAAAGUGUAGACUUUUCAGAGCAUGUACAUCUCUGAAUGUCUGCUUUUCACUGGUUCAGUGAAAUGACUUGAGGCACAUUCCUAAUUUUCUCCAGGCCUCUAUCUUUAAAACUGAGUUGGUGGAGAUUAUUAUAAUGGUGACCACAGUAGUGGUGAUGUUGUUGGAGCUGGAUGGCACAUAACUUGUAUCUCAAGGAGUCUUUGUAAUAAUCAACUGCAGUGAUGGCUAUGGAUGGAUACUAUAAUGUUAUCAAGUGCUAUACAAAUGGCCAUUAUUCUUGGAUAUUAGAAAGGAAAUGAGAAAAACUAAUGUGCCUUCACAAAGAUGCUCUCUAAAGAGCUCAGUUUGUAUAUAGGCGUAAAGAAUGUUAGAAAGAGGAACAGCUUUCCCAGAGUGAACACAAAAGUUUGAGACCACAAGACAAGAAUCAAGAAAGCCACUUGAUGAAUGUGAAUAUAUGCUUAGCAAGAAAACAAUGAAAAUGAGCUUGGUAGAAAAUAAAGGGAGUAUUCAAAGCUCUGAUGAAAAUCAAGCCAAAUAACACACACACACACACACACACACACACACACACACAGGUGUGCACACAGUCGAGGAAGGGCAGAGAGUCUUAGAACUUGGCAGAUAGUUUGGAAAUAUUAUAAAUUACAGGAAAAUUCCAACCUAGUAAUUCUCACUUUCUUUCUUUGCUAUCUUCUUGCUUUCUAUCUUUGUUAUCUUCUCUUUCUUUGCUAUUUUCCUAUUUUUCUGUCUUCUCGAGGAGAAUAAACAUAAUGCUGAAGGAGAUAGCAAAUGGUCUUCAUGUUGUAAAGGAGAGAAAAAUAGUCAAAGAAAGAGAAACUCUCAACAUCCAGUCUCCCAUCUCAGGCUGGGAAAUUUCUCUUCAAAGUCAGUAGUUUGGGGACUCUCAGAAGAAUGAUUGGUGAGUUGCUUGUUAAACCAAACGUAGUGUUUCUUGUUAAACUGAAGCCUCAAUUAUAGUAGAACUCAGUUAAAACUCAACUCAUGUGUACAGAUUUGAAUAGAACAGGGGUAAAAACCAUAGCCCACUGCCCCCACACCCCAGCAAACUAUACAAAAGUAAAAUCUCAGUAGAAACCAUUAGUAUCUAAUGUGAGAGUCCUGUUUUCAAAGCCAGUUCAUGAAGGAGUUGAGCAGUAUUAGCAACUCAGACCAGGAAAAGGGCAGACCCAACUGGCGAGGGGGACAUCUCUUCAGCAAUGUUCAGGUUAUAUAAUAAUACACAAUACAAAACGUUACAAGAAAAGUUGCAACUCUUAGGCAGAGUCUUCUACACAAAUUGAACACCACCGUUGGCAGGCAAUGUUAGAUAUAUAAAUUAAUAACUUACAAAACAUUACAUUAUAUACAUUAAGUAAUAAAUACACGGUUAUA